UGCCUUCCCCCUAACACCCAGCCAUCUUCACAGCUUCUUUGAGAGGUUCAUACAUAAUUCAUCCAAGCUACGUAGAGUCUCAAGAAUAUGACUAACACAGGUGAGUCAGCAAAUUAGACAUCUGUUGCACCACCUAAUGAAUACAAAGGCUAUUGGUGAUCUCAAAAAUCCAUCAUUCACUGACUACUGAAGAUAUCCUAGCACCGAAGGCGGAAAUAUUUUCAACAUUUUUGAAAAAAAAAAAUUUUGUGCAUGUAUAGUGCAAAUGGAAUUGGUUUCUUACAUAAUAAAUAUGCUCAUCCAUAUCUGGUGAAAUAAAAAUGAACACCUGUUAUGUCAACCCCCGCCCCAUCACUUCCUAAAAAUAGAUUUUGCUUUAAUCAACAUUUACCAGUCUGCG